ensembl:snRNA U1 U1 spliceosomal RNA
AUACUUACCUGGCAAGGGAGAUACCAUGAUCAUGAAGGUGGUCUUCCCAGGGCAAGUCAUAUCCAUUGCACUCCAGAUGUGCUGACCCCUGCAAUGUCCCCAAAUGUGGGAGCUCGACUGCAUAUUUUGUGGUAGUGGGGGACAGUGGUUGCUCUUUUUCCUG